rnacentral:rRNA from 1 species
UACAGAGGGGGCAAGCGUUGUUCGGAAUUACUGGGCGUAAAGGGCGCGUAGGCGGACCUGCAAGUCGGGGGUGAAAGCCCGAGGCUCAACCUCGGAACUGCCUUCGAUACUGCGGGUCUCGAGUCCGGGAGAGGUGAGUAGAAUUCCUAGUGUAGAGGUGAAAUUCGUAGAUAUUAGGAAGAACACCAGUGGCGAAGGCGGCUCACUGGCCCGGUACUGACGCUGAGGCGCGAAAGCCAGGGGAGCAAACGGG